rnacentral:rRNA from 1 species
GGGUUGUGAGGUUAAGCGACUAAGCGUACACGGUGGAUGCCCUGGCAGUCAGAGGCGAUGAAGGACGUGCUAAUCUGCGAUAAGCGUCGGUAAGGUGAUAUGAACCGUUAUAACCGGCGAUUUCCGAAUGGGGAAACCCAGUGUGUUUCGACACACUAUCAUUAACUGAAUCCAUAGGUUAAUGAGGCGAACCGGGGGAACUGAAACAUCUAAGUACCCCGAGGAAAAGAAAUCAACCGAGAUUCCCCCAGUAGCGGCGAGCGAACGGGGAGCAGCCCAGAGCCUGAAUCAGUGUGUGUGUUAGUGGAAGCGUCUGGAAAGGCGCGCGAUACAGGGUGACAGCCCCGUACACAAAAAUGCACAUAUUGUGAGCUCGAUGAGUAGGGCGGGACACGUGGUAUCCUGUCUGAAUAUGGGGGGACCAUCCUCCAAGGCUAAAUACUCCUGACUGACCGAUAGUGAACCAGUACCGUGAGGGAAAGGCGAAAAGAACCCCGGCGAGGGGAGUGAAAAAGAACCUGAAACCGUGUACGUACAAGCAGUGGGAGCCUCUUUUAUGGGGUGACUGCGUACCUUUUGUAUAAUGGGUCAGCGACUUAUAUUCUGUAGCAAGGUUAACCGAAUAGGGGAGCCGAAGGGAAACCGAGUCUUAACUGGGCGUUAAGUUGCAGGGUAUAGACCCGAAACCCGGUGAUCUAGCCAUGGGCAGGUUGAAGGUUGGGUAACACUAACUGGAGGACCGAACCGACUAAUGUUGAAAAAUUAGCGGAUGACUUGUGGCUGGGGGUGAAAGGCCAAUCAAACCGGGAGAUAGCUGGUUCUCCCCGAAAGCUAUUUAGGUAGCGCCUCGUGAAUUCAUCUCCGGGGGUAGAGCACUGUUUCGGCAAGGGGGUCAUCCCGACUUACCAACCCGAUGCAAACUGCGAAUACCGGAGAAUGUUAUCACGGGAGACACACGGCGGGUGCUAACGUCCGUCGUGAAGAGGGAAACAACCCAGACCGCCAGCUAAGGUCCCAAAGUCAUGGUUAAGUGGGAAACGAUGUGGGAAGGCCCAGACAGCCAGGAUGUUGGCUUAGAAGCAGCCAUCAUUUAAAGAAAGCGUAAUAGCUCACUGGUCGAGUCGGCCUGCGCGGAAGAUGUAACGGGGCUAAACCAUGCACCGAAGCUGCGGCAGCGACACUAUGUGUUGUUGGGUAGGGGAGCGUUCUGUAAGCCUGUGAAGGUGUGCUGUGAGGCAUGCUGGAGGUAUCAGAAGUGCGAAUGCUGACAUAAGUAACGAUAAAGCGGGUGAAAAGCCCGCUCGCCGGAAGACCAAGGGUUCCUGUCCAACGUUAAUCGGGGCAGGGUGAGUCGACCCCUAAGGCGAGGCCGAAAGGCGUAGUCGAUGGGAAACAGGUUAAUAUUCCUGUACUUGGUGUUACUGCGAAGGGGGGACGGAGAAGGCUAUGUUGGCCGGGCGACGGUUGUCCCGGUUUAAGCGUGUAGGCUGG